rnacentral:sRNA from 1 species
AUUUACUUAGUGGGAAGGAUUAUUCUUGAGGACAAAUAUACUAGAAAAUA